UAUUCUCACUUAUUCAAGGGAAAUACCAUGUCUAGAAUCAAUAACCAACCCGUAGGCAACUAGCGGAGCAAACCGGAGGAACAUGGACCUCAAAUGAUCAAUCAACUGGGACCUAGCCAAUAGCCAUCUCGUUAGAGUGAAAAUUCCCUUGCAAGAUCUGCUAGCAGGGGUAAUGAACGACAUAGGUUGGAGGAGACGGUGAAAGAAUUCAUGACAUAGUAACAACAGCUGAAUGCUCAAAUCGGAAAGGUAUUGAGGGCCCUGACAAGUGGUGCAACAGCUACAAUGCUAACCCCACCUCCGAUGGGUCUCGGAGUACAUCGAUAUGGAAACUCCCAACUCUAAACUGAGGAAUACGAUCCAGGUACUCUUGCUCGUGCCGGACGCCGGUGAGUUGACUCAUAAUUUGUGGAGAUUUCAAGGUAUACCUGCCUGAUACUCACAGGCCUUGUAGUCACCUUCUAGAGAUCUUAUGCUAUUGUUUCUUUUGUUUUUGAACAAUAUUGUAUUAGAGAUUCUUCGUGCAUUUUUCAGUAGAGCUUAUGACUCA